UUUUUCCUCAUUUUUUUAAUUGGCACAUUACAGUUGUACAUAAUGGUGGGAUUUGUUCUUACAUAUUUGUACAUUCACACAAUAUAGCAAUAUAAUUUGACCAGUAUCACUCUCCAGCACUUCCCCCUCCCUCCCUUCCUCCUACCUCCAAAUCCCUUUCCUCUCUUCUACUGUUCUCCUUUGAUUUUCAUGAGACAACCCCACCUUUCUUUUCCUUUUUCCUCUCUAGCUUCCACACAUGAGAGAAAACAUACAACCCUUGACCUUUUGAGUUUGGUUUAUUUUGCUUAACAUAAUGAUCUCAAGUUCCAUCCAUUUUCCUGAAAAUGGCAUAAUUUAAUUUUUCUUUAUGACUGAAUAAAAUUCCAUUGUAUACGUAUAUCACAUUUUCUUCAUACAUUCAUCCAUUGAUAGGCACCUAGGCUGGUUCCAUAGUUUGGCUAUUGUGACUUGUACUGCUAUACACAAGUGCAUGCAUAUAUCACUAUAGUGUGAUGACUUUAAUUCUUUAGGAUAAAUACCAAAGAGAGUAAUUGCUGGAUCAUAUGGUGAUUCUAUGCCUAGUCUUCUGAGGAAUAUCCAUACUGAUCUCUAUAGGUGGUUGUACUAAUUUACCAUCCACCAACAGUGUAGAAGAGUAUUCCUUUUCUCCACAUUUCUCCCAGCAUUUUUUGUUUUCUUUCCUCCCUUCCUUUCUUUCUCUUCUCUUACCUCUCCUCUUCUCUCUCUCUCUUUGAUACUGGGGAUUGAACCCAGGGAUGCUUUACCUCUGAACUACAUCACCAGUCCUUUUAUUUUUAUUGUGAAACAAGGUCACGUUUAGUUGCUGAGUCUGGCCUUGAACUUGCAAUCCUCCUCCCUUAGGCUCUAAAGCCACUGAAUUACAGGCAUGCACCACCAUGCCUGGGUUAUUAUUGUUUAUAUUCUUUUUUUAAAUAUUUUUUUUGUUUUAGGUGGACACAAUAUUUUUAUUUAUUUAUUUUUAUGUGGUGCUGAGGAUCGAACCCAGUGCCAGGCCAGCAUGCUACCACUUGAGCCACAUCUCCAGCCCCUUGUUUAUAUUCUUGAUGACUGCCAUUCUGACUAGAAUGAAAUGAAAUCUCAGUGUAGCAUUUCCCUAAUUGCUACUAAUUUCUAAUAUUUCUUUUUUCAUAUAUGAAACUGAAAUUUAUUUUUCCACCAAGAAUUGAAUUAACAAUCUAGCCCUGUUGAAAUAGCAAAGCCCAUUGGAACUAUAGUUCUGUGUCCAGUUUGCUUGGCCUGUAGUAGCAGAUUCAGAUGUGGUGCUAGGCCAUUUGUAACCAGACUCUUGUGAGUCAGAGUUCCGUCAAAAUGGCCUGACAGCUGAGUGUUAUGAUGCAUGUCUGCAGUCCUAGCUACUCAGGAGGCUGAGGUAGCAAGAUUGCUUGAGCCUAAGAGUUCAAGGCUAGCCUAAACAACAUAGGGAGAAAAACAAAACAAAAAUGGCCUGGCAGAUCAAAGGAGAGUCAAGCAAACUGUAGUGCCAUGCUACAUGCAGAUUGCAAAGGAGAGGAAGGAACUGGGGAAACAGUAUAAUUAGAAUCAUUUUAAGCUCUCUAGUGGGAGGAACAGCAAAAUAUUCUAUAUUUGGAAUGUCCUGGCAACUUGAAGUUCUAAGGUGGUAGUAGGGGUAAGGGAACAAAGAGAAGGGAAGAAUAAAAGAAGGCUCAGACAUCCAAGGGGAGGAAUUUGAUCAGAUAGCUUAACCAAUCAAAGAAACUGUUCUAGACAAAAGAAUAGUAAAACAUCUCUCCUAAGUAGUACAAGGAGAGAUAUGAUGUAAGAGAAAAAAAAAAUGAGAGAAUGUGGAGAAGGGUUUGCCAGGGCAGACAGAACUAAGAUGGAAAUAGAUUGAAUACCUG
rnacentral:lncRNA from 1 species